GGCGCAGUGCCAGAGUGGUUAAUGGGUUAGACUUGAAUUCCCUCGUGGAUUGAGAUCUAAUGGCUUCGGCCUCGCAAGUUCGAAUCUUGUCUGCGUCG